rnacentral:pre_miRNA from 1 species
CUGCUGGAAAGAUGCCAGCUGCAGUCGGGGAGCCGCAGCCGUGGCUGCACGUUUUGUGGAGCCCAUGGAAGCUGGGAGCAGG